UACGGCCAUAUCAUAUUGAAACAUCAGUUCUCAUAUGAUCAUCGAAGUUAAGGAAUCUCGAGCCUGACCAGUACCUAGAUGAGUGACCGCUUGGGAAUACCAGGUGAUGUAAG